rnacentral:rRNA from 1 species
UGGGGAAUUUUGCGCAAUGGGCGAAAGCCUGACGCAGCAACGCCGCGUGGGUGAUGAAGGUCUUCGGAUCGUAAAACCCUGUCGUCAGGGACGAAGGUUCUGGGGUGAACAGCCCCAGGAUUCGACGGUACCUGGAGAGGAAGCCCCGGCUAACUCUGUGCCAGCAGCCGCGGUAAUACAGAGGGGGCAAGCGUUAUUCGGAAUUAUUGGGCGUAAAGGGCUCGUAGGCGGUGUCUUAAGUGGGAUGUGCAAUCCCCGGGCUUAAGCUGGGAGCUGCAUACGAGACUGGGACGCUGGAGUACUGGAGAGCGUGUUGGAAUUCCACGUGUAGCGGUGAAAUGCGUAGAGAUGUGGAGGAACACCAGUGGCGAAGGCGGCCACCUGGACAGUAACCGACGCUGAGGCGCGAAAGUGUGGGUAGCAAACA